rfam:Capsella rubella cultivar Monte Gargano unplaced genomic scaffold scaffold_4, whole genome shotgun sequence.
AUUGGAUCGAUGAUUUAUAAGUUUAAAUACUGCGUUAUCUUUCUGCAAAUGUCCUCUUUUUAAGGAUUUGAAGAUAAACUAUAAAAACAGCUGAGAUCCAAU